rnacentral:rRNA from 1 species
GACAGAGGGUGCAAACGUUGUUCGGAAUUACUGGGCGUAAAGCGCGUGUAGGCGGCUGCGCAAGUCGGAUGUGAAAUCCCAUGGCUCAACCAUGGAAGUGCACCCGAAACUGCGUAGCUAGAGUCUCGGAGAGGAAGGCGGAAUGCUUGGUGUAGAGGUGAAAUUCGUAGAUAUUCGCAAGAACACCAGUGGCGAAGGCGGCUCACUGGCCCGGUACUGACGCUGAGGAGCGAAAGCGUGGGGAGCAAACAGG